CCUACGGGGGGCAGCAGUCGGGAAUAUUGCGCAAUGGAGGAAACUCUGACGCAGUGACGCCGCGUAUAGGAAGAAGGUUUUCGGAUUGUAAACUAUUGUCGUGAGGGAAGAAAUUGACAGUACCUCAGGAGGAAGCUCCGGCUAACUAUGUGCCAGCAGCCGCGGUAAUACAUAGGGAGCAAGCGUUAUCCGGAUUUAUUGGGUGUAAAGGGUGCGUAGACGGGAAAUUAAGUUAGUUGUGAAAUCCCUCGGCUUAACUGAGGAACUGCAACUAAAACUGAUUUUCUUGAGUACUGGAGAGGAAA
rnacentral:rRNA from 1 species